UGGGGUUUAGCUCAGUGGUAGAGCGCUUGCCUAGCUAGGCAAGCAUAAGGCCCUGGGUUCGGUCCCCAGCUCCAA
rnacentral:tRNA from 1 species